rnacentral:rRNA from 1 species
GACGAACGCUGGCGGCGUGCUUAACACAUGCAAGUCGAACGGAAAGGCCCUGCUUUUGUGGGGUGCUCGAGUGGCGAACGGGUGAGUAACACGUGAGUAACCUGCCCUUGACUUUGGGAUAACUUCAGGAAACUGGGGCUAAUACCGGAUAGGAGCUCCUGCUGCAUGGUGGGGGUUGGAAAGUUUCGGCGGUUGGGGAUGGACUCGCGGCUUAUCAGCUUGUUGGUGGGGUAGUGGCUUACCAAGGCUUUGACGGGUAGCCGGCCUGAGAGGGUGACCGGCCACAUUGGGACUGAGGUACGGCCCAGACUCCUACGGGAGGCAGCAGUGGGGAAUAUUGCACAAUGGGCGGAAGCCUGAUGCAGCAACGCCGCGUGCGGUAUGACGGCCUUCGGUUUGUAAACCGCUUUCGCCUGUGACGAAGCGUGAGUGACGGUAAUGGGUAAAGAAGCACCGGCUAACUACGUG